CCUUGUACAGGGGGAUAACAGUCAGAAAUGACUGCUAAUACCGCAUAAGCGCACAGAGCUGCAUGGCUCGGUGUGAAAAACUCCGGUGGUAUAAGAUGGACCCGCGUUGGACUAGCUAGUUGGUGAGGUAAUGGCCCACCAAGGCGACGAUCGGUAGCCGGACUGAGAGGUUGAACGGCCACAUUGGGACUGAGACACGGCCCAGACUCCUACGGGAGGCAGCAGUGGGGAAUAUUGCACAAUGGGGGAAACCCUGAUGCAGCGACGCCGCGUGGAGGAAGAAGGUCUUCGGAUUGUAAACUCCUGUUGUUGAGGAAGAUAAUGACGGUACUCAACAAGGAAGUGACGGCUAACUACGUGCCAGCAGCCGCGGUAAAACGUAGGUCACAAGCGUUGUCCGGAAUUACUGGGUGUAAAGGGAGCGCAGGCGGGAAGACAAGUUGGAAGUGAAAUCUAUGGGCUCAACCCAUAAACUGCUUUCAAAACUGUUUUUCUUGAGUAGUGCAGAGGUAGGCGGAAUUCCCGGUGUAGCGGUGGAAUGCGUAGAUAUCGGGAGGAACACCAGUGGCGAAGGCGGCCUACUGGGCACCAACUGACGCUGAGGCUCGAAAGUGUGGGUAGCAAACAGGAUUAGAUACCCUGGUAGUCCACACCGUAAACGAUGAUUAAGGGGUGUUGGAGGAUUGACCCCCUCAGUGCCGCAGGUAACACAAUAAGUAAUCCACCCGGGGAGUACGACCGCAAGGUUGAAACUCAAAGGAAUUGACGGGGGCCCGCACAAGCAGUGGAGUAUGUGGUUUAAUUUGACGCAACGCGAAGAACCUUACCAAGUCUUGACAUCCUGCGACGAUGCUGGAAACAGUAUUUUCCUUCGGGACGCAGAGACAGGUGGUGCAUGGUUGUCGUCAGCUCGUGUCGUGAGAUGUUGGGUUAAGUCCCGCAACGAGCGCAACCCUUACUGUCAGUUACUACGCAAGAGGACUCUGGCAGGACUGCCGUUGACAAAACGGAGGAAGGUGGGGAGGACGUCAAAUCAUCAUGCCCUUUAUGACUUGGGCUACACACGUACUACAAUGGCGUUAAACAAAGAGAAGCAAGACCGCGAGGUGGAGCAAAACUCAGAAACAACGUCCCAGUUCGGACUGCAGGCUGCAACUCGCCUGCACGAAGUCGGAAUUGCUAGUAAUCGUGGAUCAGCAUGCCACGGUGAAUAAAAUGCCGGGCCUUGCACUCUCCGCCCGUC
rnacentral:rRNA from 1 species